GACCCAGUGGCGGAUGGUCCGCACCCGCGCUCUGUACGUGCUUGCAAGUUCUGCACGUGGGAGGUCCUGGUUCGACUCCAGGCUGGGUCA